AUCCAGCCGACGAGUCCCAAAUAGAACGAAACGCGCGUCAAACUGGAU
rnacentral:hammerhead_ribozyme from 1 species